GGCUCAGAACGACCGCUGGCGGCGUGCCUAACACAUGCAAGUCGAGCGAGAAAGUCUCCGCAAGGGGGCGAGUAAAGCGGCGCACGGGUGAGUAACACGUGGGUAACCUGCCUGGAAGUCCGGAACAACCUUUCGAAAGGAGGGCUAAUACCGGAUAAGACCACGGGGACUUCGGUUCCUGAGGUAAAAAGACGGCCUCUGCACGCAAGCUGUCACUUCCAGAGGGGCCCGCGGCCCAUCAGCUAGUUGGCGGGGUAACGGCCCACCAAGGCAACGACGGGUAGCUGGUCUGAGAGGACGAUCAGCCACACUGGAACUGAGACACGGUCCAGACUCCUACGGGAGGCAGCAGUGGGGAAUUUUGCGCAAUGGGCGAAAGCCUGACGCAGCAACGCCGCGUGAGUGAUGAAGGUCUUCGGAUCGUAAAGCUCUUUCGGCCGGGACGAAAACGGGUUGGCUAAUAUCCAGCUCCUUGACGGUACCGGAAGAAGAAGCACCGGCUAACUCUGUGCCAGCAGCCGCGGUAAUACAGAGGGUGCAAGCGUUGUUCGGAAUUAUUGGGCGUAAAGCGCGUGUAGGCGGCGAUGCAUGUCGGGUGUGAAAGCCCUCGGCUUAACCGAGGAAGUGCGCCCGAAACUGCAUUGCUAGAGUGCCGGAGAGGGUAGCGGAAUUCCCGGUGUAGAGGUGAAAUUCGUAGAUAUCGGGAGGAACACCAGUGGCGAAGGCGGCUACCUGGACGGACACUGACGCUGAGACGCGAAAGCGUGGGUAGCAAACAGGAUUAGAUACCCUGGUAGUCCACGCUGUAAACGAUGGGAACUAGGUGUGGCGGGUGUUGACCCCUGCCGUGCCGAAGCUAACGCAUUAAGUUCCCCGCCUGGGA
rnacentral:rRNA from 1 species